rnacentral:rRNA from 1 species
UGAGGAAUAUUGGUCAAUGGAGGCAACUCUGAACCAGCCAUCCCGCGUGAAGGAUGAAUGCCCUAGUGGUUGUAAACUUCUUUUAUAUAGGAAUAACCGUAAGUACGUGUACUUACCUGAAGGUACUAUAUGAAUAAGCAUCGGCUAACUCCGUGCCAGCAGCCGCGGUAAUACGGAGGAUGCAAGCGUUAUCCGGAUUUAUUGGGUUUAAAGGGUCCGCAGGCGGAAAGAUAAGUCAGUGGUGAAAGCCCGUAGCUCAACUACGGAACUGCCAUUGAUACUGUUUUUCUUGAGUAUGGUUGCCGUUGGCGGAAUAUAACAUGUAGCGGUGAAAUGCUUAGAUAUGUUAUAGAACACCGAUUGCGAAGGCAGCUAACGAAACCAUUACUGACGCUCAGGG